GACGAACGCUGGCGGCGCGCCUAACACAUGCAAGUCGAACGGAGCUGAGAGAAGCUUGCUUUUCUUAGCUUAGUGGCGAACGGGUGAGUAACGCGUGAGUAACCUGCCCUGGAGUGGGGGACAACAGUUGGAAACGACUGCUAAUACCGCAUAAGCCCACGAUCCGGCAUCGGAUUGAGGGAAAAGGAUUUAUUCGCUUCAGGAUGGACUCGCGUCCAAUUAGCUAGUUGGUGAGGUAACGGCCCACCAAGGCGACGAUUGGUAGCCGGACUGGGAGGUUGAACGGCCACGUUGGGACUGAGACACGGCCCAGACUCCUACGAGAGGCAGCGAUAGGGGAUAUUGCACAAUGGGGGAAACCCUGAUGCAGCGACGCCGCGUGGAGGAAGAAGGUUUUCGGAUUGUAAACUCCUGUCGUUAGGGACGAUAAUGACGGUACCUAACAAGAAAGCACCGGCUAACUACGUG
rnacentral:rRNA from 1 species